GGUAGCUCAGUGGUAAAGCACAUGCCUGGUCUGUAUGAGACCCUGGGUUCAAUUCCCAGUACUG
rnacentral:tRNA from 1 species